AGUAAACAACGUAGGAGUGGCGGUGGCAGGUAGAGCAGUAUAGGUGGUGGCCAUUGUUAAGGCUGUGAUGGCGCCUACGGAAGAAACCUAAAUGAACACAGCCGUGUUUUGAAGCACACAGACACAUGCCUCAGCCAUCAGUAAACAAACAAAUCUACUCUAAAAGACAGUAGCAUUGUGUAGAAUAUUAAAAAAAUAUCACUACUACAAGUGUGUGGCAGUCAAAAGUUGCUUUCACUUCGAUGAUUAACGUCUGUUGGAGCAGCAAAACCCAAAACACAAGCUCUAGACCUAAACAUAGGAUAAGAUUUUGAUGGAUUUUACUGUUUUCACAGUGAUAAUGGCUUGAUGGCUUUAACUAAAGCCGGAUCCUGUCCGUCUGCCACUUGCUGGCCAAAUAUUUAACCUUCUCCGUUUCUGGAUACAUUAUACAAACCAACCUCUACAUCCCUGUGGAGAAUCACAACACUGGAUUACUAUUAUUAAGAAAUGAUUAUCACCUUAAUUAUUUAUCUUGCUCUGAAGUUAUUGAAUGAGAAGGAGAGGCAAAGUUGCCACUAAGGUGGGGUGGGGCCACCUUUAUAAUUGCAGAUUUCCCCUUUAGUUAUUUUCUGGAACAUUCACUGCUAUCUAAGGGUUUACUGGUUUUAUAUAAUUUCUUACAUAUCCCUGUAUCGUAUUGUUAUAAUAAUUUCAUAAACGGAAGUCAUUUUGUUUGUAGUCAACACUGCCAAACUAUUUUUGAAAUUUUAAGUUUACUACCUUACCCAUACAUAACUAAUAUACAUAUAUAUUUAUAUAAAUAGAUGUGUGACUGAUUCAUGUAAUUUAUAUGUUUGUAUUUACUAUUAUAAUUAAAAAUUCAUCUGGUUUUACACUGAGAAGCCUCAAACCGUGUAUAAACGAAGUGCACUGUGUUAUUUGAAGUAAGCUAAUUUGACAUGUACAUUUCAUCACCCGGUUUUGUCUAUAUCCGGUAUUUCUUCUCUACUGUUUCCGGUCAAUUAAUGACUAAAGGCUGGGAAAAAUGAACUAAAAUUGUAUAUUUAGGUUUCUAAGACAAUAUAAAAUAAAAGUAUUGGAUAUAUUUAAUAAAUGGUAAUAAUUUAUUUAGAUAUCCAUUUUUUAGGAAAGGUGUUGUUGCUAUUUUAGUCUUGUGUACAUCAAAACUGGCACACGUACGUAGACACACUUCACGCCUUUCGUAAGUGACAGACAGGGUGGAUGAUUCGGCAAGGAUGGCCAUAACCUUUGGUCAUCUUUGCACCUCGUCUCUAUUGUUAUUCAAUAUUUAACCUAUCUUUAUAAUAUAGCUAGUUAGGCGAGAUUUUCUCACUUUCCCACUCCGUCUAUUAUAAAAAUCUCAGUACUUGACGGGUGGUAAUUUUAAAUACAGUGACGGAUUAAUUUUUUUUUUCCAGUUUUAAGAUGAUCCUUUUUUGGCACUUUUAAAAUAUUGGUUUCCUUCCCCUUUUUUUUAAUUCCCUGUCUCUUAAGUAUAUAGUUUAUAUAUUUUUUUUUAUCACUGGGAUUCCUUGUUAGCUCCUUCUCUACCACAUACUGCCAUCAUGUCUCUUCUGCAAGAUCCCAAGUUGUACCAACGUCUUAAGGACUUGGAGAGGGAAAUUAAAACUACUACCUCAAAUAUUAAUUUGGAUGGACUUAUGGAUGGCCUCACCUCAUUGGUUGCAGAUUUGGACUAUCCAGCACUGAGACGGAAUAAAAAUGUUGACAAUUUCCUUUCUCGAUAUGUUAGAUCAGUUGAAUUCAUCAACCUUUGCCGUCUUCAACCUAAUGAUUUCGAAAUGGUGAAAGUCAUUGGUAGAGGAGCAUUCGGAGAAGUUCAGUUAGUGCGACACAUAUCAUCUACGAAAGUGUUUGCCAUGAAGUUGCUCAGUAAAUAUGAAAUGAUAAAACGUUCAGAUUCAGCUUUCUUCUGGGAAGAAAGAGAAAUUAUGGCCAAUGCCAACAGUGAUUGGAUUGUACAGUUACACUAUGCAUUUCAAGAUGAACGUUACUUAUACAUGGUGAUGGAUUUUAUGCCUGGAGGUGAUCUUGUUAAUCUUAUGAGUAACUAUGAUGUUCCUGAAAAAUGGGCCAAGUUUUAUUGUGCUGAAGUUGUACUGGCAUUAGAUGCAAUUCAUUCUAUGGGAUUUGUCCACCGAGAUGUGAAACCAGAUAACAUGUUACUCGAUGCCCAAGGACAUUUAAAGCUGGCAGAUUUUGGUACUUGUAUGAGGAUGGACACCGAUUUUAUGGUCCGAUCUGACACUGCUGUUGGCACACCAGAUUACAUAUCUCCUGAGGUCCUGAAGUCACAAGGGGGUGGUGGCCACUAUGGCCGAGAAUGUGACUGGUGGUCAGUUGGAGUAUUUCUCUUUGAAAUGCUUUUUGGUGACACACCCUUCUAUGCAGACUCUUUGGUCGGUACCUAUGGUAAAAUUAUGGACCACAAAAACUCACUUCAGUUUCCUGAUGAUGCUGAAAUAUCAUCUGAAGCCAAAAGUUUGAUAAUUGCUUUUCUUACUGACAGAACUGAGCGAUUAGGAAAAAAUGGUGUUCAAGAAAUCAAGCAGCACCGAUUCUUUACCAGUGACCAAUGGGACUGGGAUACGAUCAGACAGACUGUACCUCCGAUUGUGCCAGAGCUUUCCUGUGAUGUUGAUACAAGUAACUUUGAUGAAAUAGAAAAAGAUGAAACACCUCCAGAAACUUUCCAAUCCCCAAAAGCUUUUGCUGGAAAUCAUUUACCAUUUAUUGGUUUUUCAUACACCAGAGAUUUUCAUCAUGAUUCUAUAACCCUUGUCAAUGAGCAGGACAAGGAAUCUAAUUCUCGAUUAAAACAACUUGAGGAACAGUUACGUUCUGACCGUAUAGUGAGGGAUGAGAUUGAAAAAAAAUAUACGCAAUCAAUGAAAGAACUUGAUCGGUUAUCUGCAGGGGAAGCCACAUUACGAAGAGAAACACGUAAUUUGGAACGUAAUAUUGGUUUAAUAAAACAUGACUUAAAGGAGGCAAACCGGAAGUAUGAAAUUGAAUUGGAACUCCGCAAGAAGAAAGAGAGUGACCUUGAAAAUUUGGAAAAACAAUUUCUUCAAGAACAAGCUGACCGACUUGCUUUACAGGGCAACAGUACUCAGACUAGUGACAAGAUAUUAGAGUUGCAAAAUAAACUUCAAGAAGCUGAAGAAGAAAUACGAACAAGCACAGAGUCAGUGAAUCGGUUUAAGAAGAUGUGUUCAGAAUUACAACAGAGAUACAGUCAUGUGGACCAGAGUUAUACAGAACUGAAUAACAAAUACUUAGAAACACAAUCAGUGAAAAUGUCACUUGAGAAAGAAAUAGCAAAUUUACAUGCUCUUUUGGCAGAAGAAAAAAACUUAUUGAACCAAAAAGUGUCAGAGCAAUCAAAUACUUUGUUAGAAAAAUUAAAUAAUUUUCAAAAUGAAAAUGAAAUGCUGAAAAACAAGGAAGUAGAAAACUCAAAUGAACUUCGGAAAGCUCAACAAAUGGUGUUCCAACUGGAGAAGGACUGUGCCAAUGCAGAACUGGAAAAGGAAACGUUUCUGAGGAAAUGGGAACACGAAGUUGGAAGCCAUAAGGCAACAAUGUCCCAGUUCAGUGCAUGUCAGGCGAGCAUAUCUUCAAAAUCAGAAGUCAAUUUAGAGUCAAUGAAAGAACUUCAGGUGAGAAUUGAGCAAGAGCGGAGUGUGCGGCAAACAGCUGAAAGUGAAAAGCUGCAACUUGAGAAAGAGAAGAGUGAACUGUCUUUAGAUCUGUCCCAGAUGAAACAGACAGUGGAGAUUAUACAGAGAGAUUUGAAAUCAGAAACAGAAAAGGUGAAGAAUUUGAAUCUUCAAGUGGAACAAGAAAUACAGAGACGCAACUUAAUGCAAGGUGACUUGAAAACACAGACGCAAGAACUGAACAAAGCCAAGGCACGAGAAAAGCAGUAUGAUAAGGAUCUCAAAGAACUGCGAGACGAGAAGCAAAAGGCUGAAGAAGAACUGAGAAAAUUAAAGGAAGAAUCAUCGUUAGCAGAACUUCAGAUGCGAGAAUUACAAGACCAGUUUGAAGCAGAAUCUUAUUUCUCAUCUUUAUACCGAGCUCAAGUGAAGGAAUUAAAAGAAGAAAUCAAAGACAACAAGAAGGAAAACCAAGACUUAUCUGUGGACAUUUCUACAAUGGAACAAGAAAAUGAAAGGUUGAAUAAAAACUUGAAAAUGGCCACAUCAAAAAUUGAAUCUGAACAAAUAGCACGUACAGUGGCUGAAGAGAAUCUAUCAGAUCUUGAGAAAGAAAAGACCAUGCUACAACUGGAAAUUAAGGAACUGAAAACACGACAUAAAGCAGAACUUUCUCGUAAAGAAUCGGUCAUUAAUGUGCUGGAAGAUUCUAAACGUGAAUAUGGAAAAAAUAACGAGCAACUUCAAAACGAGAAAGAUGAUUUAAUAAAUAAAAUGAAUAAAAUGGCUGAUGAUUUGAAAAAUGAGAAAUCUGAGAAUAAUAUUAGUGAAAUCGAGCAGUUGAGGAAGUUGUUGCAGGAUGAGAGACUGAAGAAGAUACAGGCUGUGAAUAAACUGGCUGAGGUGAUGAAUAGAAAGGAAUUUGCUGACAAAAGCAAGAAACCAACCAAUUCUAAUUCAGGAGCCCUUCGGAAACGGGAUAAAGAAUGCCGUCGUCUUCAGCAGGAAUUGACGAUGGAGCGAGAGAAAUACACUAAAAUGGUUGAGAAGUUUCAGAGAGAUAUUUCUGAAAUGGUUACCCAAAUGAAUGAUGAGAUGCAGGCAAAGGCAAAGCUCCAGAUGGAGUUGGAUGCCAAAGACAGUGAGAUAGAACAGUUGCAACAGAAGCUCGCUAACCCCGACAACACUUCAGUAAAUAGCGGUAGUGUUGAGGAGUUUGGAGCUGAGGAUGGUCUCACAGACAAUGUGAUGGAAGGUCGGUUGGCAAUCCCGCACAAACCUAGUACCAAGAAAUUAAUUUGGAAAAAACAGUUUGUGGUUGCGAGUAGCAGAAAAAUUCUUUUCUAUAACACACCGAAUGAUAAACAGAAUUCUGAUCCUGUCAUGGUUUUAGAUAUUGAUAAAUUAUUCCAUGUACGUCCAGUUACUCAAGGAGAUGUGUAUCGAGCUGAUUCUAAAGAUAUUCCAAGAAUAUUUCAGAUUCUCUAUGCAACAGAAGGAGAAAACAUAAAACCAGGCGAGACUGCACAAGAAAGUCAGGAUCGAACGGGUUUCUCAUACAAAGGACAUGACCUAAUUCCAAUUCAUUACCGUAUCCCUGCGACCUGUGAUUCUUGUAACAAGCCUGUCUGGCACGUGAUACACCCUCCCGCAGCUUUAGAAUGCAAGCGAUGUCAUGUAAAAGUACAUCGAGAACAUUACGAAAAGGAAGAAGAAUUUAUAGGAUAUUGUAAAGUUAACUAUGACAUUCAAGCUAAGGAAUUAUUGCUGUUGGCUGAAUCCUCAGAGAAACAAAAGUCCUGGGUGCAACAUUUGGGGAGGAAAAUUCCUAAGAAAGGAAUAACUCCGGCAGGAUCAAGGAAAUAACGGAGUAAGGUGCACCAUUUUUACAAAUGCACCAUUAAUAGCAGCAAGACACUCAUACAAGUUUCACCAAUUUCUUCCAGCGUGGUGCCUUCUCGUAGCUUGAGACAAUAUUCAUCAUAUGGGCCACUACAUCGUCAUUCUUCAGUUGGAAAAUCAGCGACACUCCCACCAAAUACUCGUCCCUGAAAUACUUCAUGUCCCAACCAACCUCAGCUCUCUUAAAGGACUCUCCCUCUCCACCGCCACCACCACACCACCACCACCACCACCUCUACAUCUUGAUCUUCAUUAAUACUCACUCUCUUCUUUCUCUUGUGUGUAGAAGCUGAGCUCUGAGCUUCUUUCUCUGUCAUGGCAAUCAUUUCAAAUGGGCAUACAUAAAUACAUACAGAUAGAUAUAUGUGUAUGUAUAUAUAUAUAUAU